CUGAACCAGCCAAGUAGCGCGAAGGAUGAAGGUCCUACGGAUUGUAAACUUCUUUUAUACGGGAAUAAAGUAUCCUACGUGUAGGAUUUUGUAUGUACCGUAUGAAUAAGCAUCGGCUAACUCCGUGCCAGCAGCCGCGGUAAUACGGAGGAUGCGAGCGUUAUCCGGAUUUAUUGGGUUUAAAGGGAGCGCAGACGGGAGAUUAAGUCAGUUGUGAAAGUUUGCGG
rnacentral:rRNA from 1 species